rnacentral:rRNA from 1 species
AUACGUAGGUGACAAGCGUUAUCCGGAUUUACUGGGCGUAAAGGGCGUGUAGGCGGUCUUGCAAGUCAGAAGUGAAAUUCCUGAGCUCAACUCGGGCGCUGCUUCUGAAACUGCAGGACUUGAGUGCUGGAGGGGAUAGCGGAAUUCCUAGUGGAGCGGUAAAAUGCGCAGAUAUUAGGAGGAAUACCAGUGGCGAAGGCGACUCUCUGGACUGAUACUGACGCUGAGGCACGAAAGCGUGGGGAGCAAACAGGAUUAGAUACCCUGGUAGUCCACGCUAUAAACGAUGAGUGCUAGGUGUCGGGGGUCAAACCUCGGUGCCGCAGUUAACACAUUAAGCACUCCGCCUGGGGAGUACGGCCGCAAGGCUGAAACUCAAAUGAAUUGGCGGGG